CUGAUCCAGCCAUGCCGCGUGGGUGAAGAAGGCCUUAGGGUUGUAAAGCCCUUUCAGUCGUGACGAUGAUGACGGUAGCGACAGAAGAAGCCCCGGCUAACUCCGUGCCAGCAGCCGCGGUAAUACGGAGAGGGCAAGCGUUGUUCGGAUUUACUGGGCGUAAAGGGCGCGUAGGCGGACGGUCAAGUCAGAGGUGAAAGGCCCGGGCUCAACCUGGGACGUGCCUUUGAAACUGAUUGUCUUGAGUGCGGGAGAGGGUGACGGAAUUCCCAGUGUAGAGGUGAAAUUCGUAGAUAUUGGGAAGAACACCGGUGGCGAAGGCGGUCACCUGGCCCGCAACUGACGCUGAGGCGCGAAAGCGUGGGGAGCAAACAGGAUUAGAUACCCUGUAGUCCACGCCGUAAACGAUGUGCGCUAGCCGUUGGGGCUCGUAGAGUCUCGGUGGCGCAGUUAACGCGUUAAGCGC
rnacentral:rRNA from 1 species